CCUACGGGUGGCAGCAGUGGGGAAUAUUGGACAAUGGGCGAAAGCCUGAUCCAGCCAUGCCGCGUGUGUGAAGAAGGCCUUCGGGUUGUAAAGCACUUUCAGUGGGGAAGAAAGCCUUGAGGCUAAUACCCUCGAGGAAGGACAUCACCCACAGAAGAAGCACCGGCUAACUCCGUGCCAGCAGCCGCGGUAAUACGGAGGGUGCGAGCGUUAAUCGGAAUUACUGGGCGUAAAGCGCGCGUAGGCGGUCUGAUAAGCCGGUUGUGAAAGCCCCGGGCUCAACCUGGGAACGGCAUCCGGAACUGUCAGGCUAGAGUGCAGGAGAGGAAGGUAGAAUUCCCGGUGUAGCGGUGAAAUGCGUAGAGAUCGGGAGGAAUACCAGUGGCGAAGGCGGCCUUCUGGACUGACACUGACGCUGAGGUGCGAAAGCGUGGGUAGCAAACAGGAUUAGAUACCACGGUAGUC
rnacentral:rRNA from 1 species